CCUACGGGCGGCAGCAGUGGGGAAUAUUGCGCAAUGGGCGAAAGCCUGACGCAGCGACGCCGCGUGAGGGAUGAAGGUCUUCGGAUCGUUAACCUCUGUCAGCAGGGAAGAACGGUCACUGUGCUAAUCAGCAGUGAAUUGACGGUACCUGCAAAGGAAGCACCGGCUAACUCCGUGCCAGCAGCCGCGGUAAUACGGAGGGUGCGAGCGUUAAUCGGAAUUACUGGGCGUAAGGGGCUCGUAGGCGGUAUGUCAAGUCAAGGGUGAAAUCCCCGCGCUCAACGUGGGAACUGCCUUUGAAACUGGCAAACUGGAGUGUGUGAGAGGAUAGUGGAAUUCCAGGUGUAGGAGUGAAAUCCGUAGAUAUCUGGAGGAACAUCAGUGGCGAAGGCGACUAUCUGGCACAUAACUGACGCUGAGGAGCGAAAGCGUGGGUAGCAAACAGGAUUAGAUACCCUUGUAGUC
rnacentral:rRNA from 1 species